GACGAACGCUGGCGGCGUGCCUAACACAUGCAAGUCAACUUGACUGAAGGAGCAAUCUGACAGUAGAGUGGCGCAAGGGUGCGUAACGCGUAAGUAACUUGCCCCAAGGUAAGGAAUAACGUCGAGAAAUCGGCGCUAAUACCUCAUAAUGCAGCGGAUCCGCAUGGAUAUGUUGUUAAAGGUUUACCGCCUUGGGAUAGGCUUGCGUCUGAUUAGCUAGUUGGUGUGGUAAACCGGCACACCAAGGCUACGAUCAGUAACUGGUCUGAGAGGAUGAUCAGUCACACUGGAACUGAGACACGGUCCAGACUCCUACGGGAGGCAGCAGUGAGGAAUAUUGGGCAAUGCUCGAAAGAGUGACCCAGCAACGCCGCGUGGAGGAUGAAGGUAUUCUAUAUCGUAAACUCCUGUGAGAGCAGACGAAAGACAGAUUAUUAAUCUGGAUGACUGUAUGCUCAGAGGAAGCCCCGGCUAACUACG
rnacentral:rRNA from 1 species